rnacentral:rRNA from 1 species
UGGGGAAUAUUGCACAAUGGGCGCAAGCCUGAUGCAGCCAUGCCGCGUGUGUGAAGAAGGCCUUCGGGUUGUAAAGCACUUUCAGCGAGGAGGAAGGUGGUGAACUUAAUACGUUCAUCAAUUGACGUUACUCGCAGAAGAAGCACCGGCUAACUCCGUGCCAGCAGCCGCGGUAAUACGGAGGGUGCAAGCGUUAAUCGGAAUUACUGGGCGUAAAGCGCACGCAGGCGGUUUGUUAAGUCAGAUGUGAAAUCCCCGGGCUCAACCUGGGAACUGCAUUUGAACUGGCAGCUAGAGUCUCGUAGAGGGGGUAGAAUUCCAGGUGGUAGCGGUGAAAUGCGUAGAGAUCUGGAGGAAUACCGGUGGCGAAGGCGGCCCCCUGGACGAAGACUGACCGCUCAGGUGCGAAAGCGU